rnacentral:rRNA from 1 species
GAUGAACGCUAGCGGCAGGCCUAACACAUGCAAGUCGAGGGGUAUAGUAGCAAUACUAGAGACCGGCGCACGGGUGCGUAACGCGUAUGCAACCUACCUUUUACAGGGGAAUAGCCCAGAGAAACUUGGAUUAAUGCCCCAUGGUAUAUUUGAGUGGCAUCACUUGAUUAUUAAAGUUCCAACGGUAAAAGAUGGGCAUG